rnacentral:rRNA from 1 species
AUUGAACGCUGGCGGCAUGCUUUACACAUGCAAGUCGAACGGUAACAGGGUGCUUGCACCGCUGACGAGUGGCGAACGGGUGAGUAAUGCGUCGGAACGUGCCGAGUAGUGGGGGAUAACGCAGCGAAAGUUGUGCUAAUACCGCAUACGUACUGAGGUAGAAAGUGGGGGACCUUCGGGCCUCACGCUAUUCGAGCGGCCGACGUCUGAUUAGCUAGUAGGUGAGGUAAAGGCUCACCUAGGCGACGAUCAGUAGCGAGUCUGAGAGGAUGAUCCGCCACACUGGGACUGAGACACGGCCCAGACUCCUACGGGAGGCAGAAGUGGGGAAUUUUGGACAAUGGGCGAAAGCCUGAUCCAGCCAUGCCGCGUGUCUGAAGAAGGCCUUCGGGUUGUAAAGGACUUUUGUCAGGGAGGAAAUCCCUAGUGCUAAUAACACUGGGGGAUGACAGUACCUGAAGAAUAAGCACCGGCUAACUACGUGCCAGCCGCCGCUGUAA